GACGAACGCUGGCGGCGUGCCUAAUACAUGCAAGUUGAGCGCUGAAGGUUGGUACUUGUACCAACUGGAUGAGCAGCGAACGGGUGAGUAACGCGUGGGGAAUCUGCCUUUGAGCGGGGGACAACAUUUGGAAACGAAUGCUAAUACCGCAUAAAAACUUUAAACACAAGUUUUAAGUUUGAAAGAUGCACUUGCAUCACUCAAAGAUGAUCCCGCGUUGUAUUAGCUAGUUGGUGAGGUAAAGGCUCACCAAGGCGAUGAUACAUAGCCGACCUGAGAGGGUGAUAGGCGGCAUUGGGACGGAGACACGGCCCAAACUCCUACGGGAGGCAGCAGUAGGGAAUCUUCGGCAAUGGACGAAAGGCUGACCGAGCAACGCCGCGUGAGUGAAGAAGGUGUUCGGGUCGUAAAACUCUGUUGGUAGAGAAGAACGGUGGUGAGAGUGGAAAGCGCAUCAAGUGACGGUAACUACCCAGAAAGGGACGGCUAACUACGUG
rnacentral:rRNA from 1 species